rnacentral:RNase_P_RNA from 1 species
UAAGUAGGGCAGACGGUCGCGGCUGCGGCAGCCGUAAGGCGCGCAGACGAGGAAAGUCCGGGCUUCACAGGGCAGGAUGCCGGAUAACGUCCGGUGGAGGUGACUCCAAGGAAAGUGCAACAGAAAUAAACCGCCGGGAAACCGGUAAGGGUGGAAAGGCAGUGUAAGAGACUACCGCGGCGCUGGUAACAGCGCCGGCUCUGUAAACCCCAUCCGAAGCAAGACCAGACAUAAGCGAUGACGCUGCCCGCCAGCUUAAGGUAGGUCGCUCAAGGCGGUUGGCAACAGCCGCCUUAGAUAGAUGGCCGUCCACGACAUAACCCGGCUUACAGCCCUGCUUAUUUU